rnacentral:tRNA from 1 species
GCCGAAGUGGCGAAAUCGGUAGACGCAGUUGAUUCAAAAUCAACCGCCUUCGGGCAUGCCGGUUCGAUUCCGGCCUUCGGCACCA